rnacentral:rRNA from 1 species
UACGGAGGGUGCAAGCGUUAUCCGGAUUCACUGGGUUUAAAGGGUGCGUAGGUGGGUCUGUAAGUCAGUGGUGAAAUCUCCGAGCUUAACUUGGAAACUGCCAUUGAUACUAUAGAUCUUGAAUACCGUGGAGGUCAGCGGAAUAUGUCAUGUAGCGGUGAAAUGCUUAGAUAUGACAUAGAACACCAAUUGCGAAGGCAGCUGGCUACACGAAUAUUGGCACUGAUGCACGAAAGCGUGGGGAUCAAACAGGG